UACGGAGGGGGCUAGCGUUGUUCGGAAUUACUGGGCGUAAAGCGCACGUAGGCGGCUUUGCAAGUCAGCGGUGAAAGCCCGGGGCUCAACCCCGGAAUAGCCUUUGAGACUGCAUCGCUAGAAUUGUGGAGAGGUAAGUGGAAUUCCGAGUGUAGAGGUGAAAUUCGUAGAUAUUCGGAAGACCACCAGUGGCGAAGGCGACUUACUGGACACAUAUUGACGCUGAGGUGCGAAAGCGUGGGGAGCAAACAGG
rnacentral:rRNA from 1 species